UACGUAGGGUGCAAGCGUUAUCCGGAAUUAUUGGGCGUAAAGAGCUCGUAGGCGGUUUGUCACGUCUGCUGUGAAAACUGGAGGCUCAACCUCCAGCCUGCAGUGGGUACGGACAGACUAGAGUGCGGUAGGGGAGAUUGGAAUUCCUGGUGUAGCGGUGAAAUGCGCAGAUAUCAGGAGGAACACCGAUGGCGAAGGCAGAUCUCUGGGCCGUAACUGACGCUGAGGAGCGAAAGCAUGGGGAGCGAACAGG
rnacentral:rRNA from 1 species